GACGAACGCUGGCGGCGUGCCUAAUACAUGCAAGUAGGACGCACAGUUUAUACCGUAGCUUGCUACACCAUAGACUGUGAGUUGCGAACGGGUGAGUAACGCGUAGGUAACCUGCCUAUUAGAGGGGGAUAACUAUUGGAAACGAUAGCUAAUACCGCAUAACAGUAUGUAACACAUGUUAGAUGCUUGAAAGAUGCAAUUGCAUCGCUAGUAGAUGGACCUGCGUUGUAUUAGCUAGUAGGUAGGGUAAUGGCCUACCUAGGCGACGAUACAUAGCCGACCUGAGAGGGUGAUCGGCCACACUGGGACUGAGACACGGCCCAGACUCCUACGGGAGGCAGCAGUAGGGAAUCUUCGGCAAUGGGGGGAACCCUGACCGAGCAACGCCGCGUGAGUGAAGAAGGUUUUCGGAUCGUAAAGCUCUGUUGUUAAGGAAGAAACGAGUGUGAGAAUGGAAAGUUCAUAC
rnacentral:rRNA from 1 species